CGCGAAUUCGCCCUUCGGGGCGCACCAGGCGCGAAAACUUUACAAUGCGAGAAACCGUGAUAAGGGGACACCGAGUGCCAGCAUCAUAUGCUGGCUGUCCAGGUGUGUAAAAUACACCUGUUAGCAAGGGCCGGGCAAGACCGGUGCCAGCCGCCGCGGUAACACCGGCGGCCCGAGUGGUGAUCGUGAUUAUUGGGUCUAAAGGGUCCGUAGCCGGUUUGGUCAGUCCUCCGGGAAAUCUGACGGCUCAACCGUUAGGCUUUCGGGGGAUACUGCCAGGCUUGGAACCGGGAGAGGUAAGAGGUACUACAGGGGUAGGAGUGAAAUCUUGUAAUCCCUGUGAGACCACCUGUGGCGAAGGCGUCUUACCAGAACGGGUUCGACGGUGAGGGACGAAAGCUGGGGGCACGAACCGGAUUAGAUACCCGGGUAGUCCCAGCCGUAAACGAUGCUCGCUAGGUGUCAGGCAUGGCGCGACCGUGUCUGGUGCCGCAGGGAAGCCGUGAAGCGAGCCACCUGGGAAGUACGGCCGCAAGGCUGAAACUUAAAGGAAUUGGCGGGGGAGCAC
rnacentral:rRNA from 1 species